GACGAACGCUGGCGGCGUGCCUAAUACAUGCAAGUAGAACGCUGAAGGAGGAGCUUGCUUCUCUGGAUGAGUUGCGAACGGGUGAGUAACGCGUAGGUAACCUGCCUGGUAGCGGGGGAUAACUAUUGGAAACGAUAGCUAAUACCGCAUAAUAGUAGAUGUCGCAUGACAUUUGCUUAAAAGGUGCAAUUGCAUCACUACCAGAUGGACCUGCGUUGUAUUAGCUAGUUGGUGAGGUAACGGCUCACCAAGGCAACGAUACAUAGCCGACCUGAGAGGGUGAUCGGCCACACUGGGACUGAGACACGGCCCAGACUCCUACGGGAGGCAGCAGUAGGGAAUCUUCGGCAAUGGACGGAAGUCUGACCGAGCAACGCCGCGUGAGUGAAGAAGGUUUUCGGAUCGUAAAGCUCUGUUGUAAGAGAAGAACGAGUGUGAGAGUGGAAAGUUCACACUGUGACGGUAUCUUACCAGAAAGGGACGGCUAACUACGUGC
rnacentral:rRNA from 1 species